rnacentral:rRNA from 1 species
CAGCCGCCACGGUAAUACGGAGGGGGCUAGCGUUGUUCGGAAUUACUGGGCGUAAAGCGCACGUAGGCGGCUUGGUAAGUUAGAGGUGAAAGCCCGGAGCUCAACUCCGGAAUUGCCUUUAAGACUGCCGAGCUAGCAGGUGAGAGAGGUAAGUGGAAUUCCGAGUGUAGAGGUGAAAUUCGUAGAUAUUCGGAAGAACACCAGUGGCGAAGGCGGCUUACUGGCUCAUACUGGACGCUGAGGUGCGAAAGCGUGGGGAGCAAACAGGAUUAGAUACCCCAGUAGUCCCUGUCUCUUAUAA